UAAGCAGGUCUACCGAAGGGUAGACCUCCC
rnacentral:rRNA from 1 species